rnacentral:rRNA from 1 species
UAGGGAAUAUUAGAAAUGGACGAAAGUCUGAUCUCGCCACACCGCGUGUGCGAAGAAGGCCUUCGGGUCGUAAAGCCCUUUUUGGAAGGAAUAGGAAGGAAUGUACUUCCAGAAUAAGUCUCGGCUAACUACGUGCCAGCAGCCGCGGUAACACGUAGGAGGCGAACGUUAUCCGGAUUUACUGGGCGUAAAGCGCGUGUAGGUGGUUCUGUAAGUAGGGCGUGAAAGCUCCCGGCUCAACUGGGAGACGGCGUUCUAAACUACAGAACUAGAGGGUGGUAGAGGGAGGUGGAAUUCCAGGUGUAGCGGUGGAAUGCGCAGAUAUCUGGAGGAACACCAGUGGCGAAGGCGGCCUCCUGGACCAUUCCUGACACUCAGGCGCGAAAGCUAGGGUAGCAAACG